GCUCAGAUUGAACGCUGGCGGCAGGCCUAACACAUGCAAGUCGAGCGGUAACGGGGGGUGCUUGCACCCCGCUGACGAGCGGCGGACGGGUGAGUAAUGCAUAGGAAUCUGCCCGAUAGUGGGGGAUAACCUGGGGAAACCCAGGCUAAUACCGCAUACGUCCUACGGGAGAAAGGGGGCUUCGGCUCCCGCUAUCGGAUGAGCCUAUGUCGGAUUAGCUGGUUGGUGAGGUAAAGGCUCACCAAGGCGACGAUCCGUAGCUGGUCUGAGAGGAUGAUCAGCCACAUCGGGACUGAGACACGGCCCGAACUCCUACGGGAGGCAGCAGUA
rnacentral:rRNA from 1 species